AUUGAACGCUGGCGGCAUGCUUUACACAUGCAAGUCGAACGGCAGCGCGGGCUUCGGCCUGGCGGCGAGUGGCGGACGGGUGAGUAAUACAUCUGAACGUGCCCAGUAGUGGGGGAUAGCUCGGCGAAAGCCGGCUUAAUACCGCAUACGACCUGAGGGUGAAAGCGUGGGAUCUUCGGACCUCGCGCUAUUGGAGCGGCCGAUGGCAGAUUAGCGAGUUGGUGGGCUAAAGGCCUACCAAGGCGACGAGCUGUAGCUGGUCUGAGAGGACGACCAGCCAGACGGGGAGUGAGACACGGCCCAGACACCUGCGGGAGGCAGCAGUGGGGAAUGUUGCACAAUGGGCGAGUGGCUGAUACAGCAAUGCCGCGUGAGUGAUGAUGGCGUUCGGGUUCGAGAGUACUUUAGGCGUGAGCGAAAAAGACCGUGUCAAUACCUCGGUUCAAUGACGGUAGCCGGAGAAUAAGCACCGGCUAACUUCGUG
rnacentral:rRNA from 1 species